UCAUGGCUCAGGAUGAACGCUAGCUACAGGCCUAACACAUGCAAGUCGUGGGGCAGCGGAUAUGUUUUGUUUUUCAAGCAUAUGCCGGCGACCGGCGCACGGGUGAGUAACGCGUAUCCAACCUGCCCAUCACAAGGGAAUAACCCGUCGAAAGUCGGCCUAAUGCCCUAUGUAUUCCGAUGAAGUCCUCUGAAUCGGAAUAAAGCUUUUGCGGUGAUGGAUGGGGAUGCGUCUGAUUAGCUUGUCGGCGGGGUAACGGCCCACCGAGGCGACGAUCAGUAGGGGUUCUGAGAGGAAGGUCCCCCACAUUGGAACUGAGACACGGUCCAAACUCCUACGGGAGGCAGCAGUGAGGAAUAUUGGUCAAUGGGCGUGAGCCUGAACCAGCCAAGUAGCGUGCAGGAUGACGGCCCUAUGGGUUGUAAACUGCUUUUAUACGGGGAUAAAAGGGUGAACGUGUUCUCCUUUGCAGGUACCGUAUGAAUAAGGACCGGCUAAUUCCGUGCCAGCAGCCGCGGUAAUACGGAAGGUCCUGGCGUUAUCCGGAUUUAUUGGGUUUAAAGGGAGCGCAGGCUGCACUUUAAGCGUGUUGUGAAAUGUACCGGCUCAACCGGUAACGUGCAGCGCGAACUGGGGUGCCUGAGUACGAAGAGGGAAGGCGGAACUCGUGGUGUGGCGGUGAAAUGCUUAGAUAUCACGAGGAACUCCGAUCGCGAAGGCAGCUUUCCGUUUCGGAACUGACGCUGAGGCUCGAAAGUGCGGGUAUCGAACAGGAUUAGAUACCCUGGUAGUCCGCACGGUAAACGAUGGAUGCUCGCUGUUGGAUAUUUUUAUUCAGUGGCUAAGUGAAAACGUUAAGCAUCCCACCUGGGGAGUACGCCGGCAACGGUGAAAACUCAAAGGAAUUGACGGGGGCCCGCACAAGCGGAGGAAACAUGUGGUUUAAUUCGAUGAUACGCGAGGAACCUUACCCGGGCUUGAAUUGCAGCUGAACGAAUCCAGAGAUGGUGAGGCCCUUCGGGGCAGCUGUGAAGGUGCUGCAUGGUUGUCGUCAGCUCGUGCCGUGAGGUGUCGGCUUAAAGUGCCAUAAACGAGCGCGAACCCCUCUCCGCAGUUGCCAUCGGUUGAUGCCGGGCGACUCUGCGGACACUGCCUCCGCGAAGGAGUGAGGAAAGGUGGG
rnacentral:rRNA from 1 species